rnacentral:rRNA from 1 species
AGUACCGUGAGGGAAAGGUGAAAAGCACCCCGGAAGGGGAGUGAAAUAGAACCUGAAACCGUGUGCUUACAAGUAGUCAGAGCCCGUUAAUGGGUGAUGGCGUGCCUUUUGUAGAAUGAACCGGCGAGUUACGAUUUGAUGCAAGGUUAAGCAGUAAAUGUGGAGCCGUAGCGAAAGCGAGUCUGAAUAGGGCGUUUAGUAUUUGGUCGUAGACCCGAAACCAGGUGAUCUACCCUUGGUCAGGUUGAAGUUCAGGUAACACUGAAUGGAGGACCGAACCGACUUACGUUGAAAAGUGAGCGGAUGAACUGAGGGUAGCGGAGAAAUUCCAAUCGAACCUGGAGAUAGCUGGUUCUCUCCGAAAUAGCUUUAGGGCUAGCCUCAAGUGAUGAUUAUUGGAGGUAGAGCACUGUUUGGACGAGGGGCCCCUCUCGGGUUACCGAAUUCAGACAAACUCCGAAUGCCAAUUAAUUUAACUUGGGAGUCAGAACAUGGGUGAUAAGGUCCGUGUUCGAAAGGGAAACAGCCCAGACCACCAGCUAAGGUCCCAAAAUAUAUGUUAAGUGGAAAAGGAUGUGGCGUUGCCCAGACAACUAGGAUGUUGGCUUAGAAGCAGCCAUCAUUUAAAGAGUGCGUAAUAGCUCACUAGUCGAGUGACACUGCGCCGAAAAUGUACCGGGGCUAAACAUAUUACCGAAGCUGUGGAUUGUCCUUUGGACAAUGGUAGGAGAGCGUUCUAAGGGCGUUGAAGCAUGAUCGUAAGGACAUGUGGAGCGCUUAGAAGUGAGAAUGCCGGUGUGAGUAG